rnacentral:lncRNA from 1 species
CUCUUAUUUGAUUAGAUUUGCUUCCAAAACCAAUUGAGAAAUUUGUAAGAUGUUACCAAAAACAAUUUGAAUUUAAGCAAUGGUCUUAAAACUGCUUAUUUACAUACAAUACUACUAAGAAGUAAAAUUAAAAAAAAUACUGAACUCCGAGGAAAAUUCAAAUCAGAAAGUCCCUUAUCAAAUGGUAUAAUCAAAUGAUAAAACACACC